rnacentral:rRNA from 1 species
UACGUAGGGUGCAAGCGUUAAUCGGAAUUACUGGGCGUAAAGCGUGCGCAGGCGGUUUUGUAAGUCAGAUGUGAAAUCCCCGGGCUUAACCUGGGAACUGCGUUUGAAACUACAAGGCUAGAGUGUGGCAGAGGGGGUGGAAUUCCACGUGUAGCAGUGAAAUGCGUAGAGAUGUGGAGGAACACCGAUGGCGAAGGCAGCCCCUGGGUUAACACUGACGCUCAGGCA